AGUGAACGCUGGCGGCGUGCCUAAUACAUGCAAGUCGAACGGAGUGGCGCACGGGUGAGUAAUGUAUAGCUAAUCCGCCCUACACUAGAGGACAACAGUUGGAAACGACUGCUAAUACUCCCUAGUGUAGGAUGAGGCUAUCUUGUAUCAGCUAGUUGGUGAGGUAAUGGCUCACCAAGGCUAUGACGCAUAACUGGUCUGAGAGGAUGAUCAGUCACACUGUAACUGAGACACGGUGCAGACUCCUACGGGAGGGAGCAAUAGGGAAUAUUGCUCAAUGGGGGGAGCCCUGAAGCAGCAACGGCGCGUGGAGGAUUACACUUUUCGGAGCGUACACUCCUUUUAAUAGGGAAGCGGUACCUAACGAAUAAGCACCGGCUAACUCCGUGCCAGCAGCCGCGGUAAUUC
rnacentral:rRNA from 1 species